rnacentral:rRNA from 1 species
AUACGGAGGAUCCGAGCGUUAUCCGGAUUUAUUGGGUUUAAAGGGUGCGCAGGCGGGAGAUUAAGUCGGCGGUGAAAUUUUGCAGCUCAACUGUAAAAGCGCCUUCGAAACUGGUUUCCUUGAGUGUAGAUGAAGUAGGCGGAAUUUGUGGUGUAGCGGUGAAAUGCAUAGAUAUCACGAGGAACUCCGAUUGCGAAGGCAGCUUACUAAACUACUACUGACGCUCAGGCACGAAGGCGUGGGGAUCAAACAGGAUUAGAUACCCUGGUAGUCCACGCAGUAAACGAUGACUACUAGCUGUUUGCGAUACAAUGUAAGCGGCUGAGCGAAAGCGUUAAGUAACCCACCUGGGGAGUACGUUCGCAAGAAUGAAACUCAAAGGAAUUGACGGGG